UUUAACUCGGCAAUAAACCUACAGAGAAUAAACUUUACACUCCUGUCACUUUGACAUGCCUCUCUCUACAUCCAGCUUGCAGGAGUGGUCCUCAGGCUUUUUGGAGGCUCUGACUAAACAGAGUUUCCUCAAGUUUGAUCCUCUUCAAGAUCCUAAACUUGGAUAGACACCUACACAAACAGCAAUGCAUCCUUUUCCAAUAGGAGGGGGAUGGAAGAGGUGAGGAAUGAAUCUAUUGAAUUUCAGAAAACCCAAAUGACUUGUUCAAGGCUACGUGACUAAUUGAGGAUGUGUGUGGGUGGCACCAGGAUCCAUAUUUGCUGAUGGUUGACCAACAGUCUCUCCACGCUACCACUUCUCAACUGCCCCUGAGCUUUCUCAGAAAUGACAGGAGUGUGUUAAGGAGGACACUGAUUUGUGGCUCGUGACUUUCAAGGAUUCUGUCAGUCCUCACCUAUAACAUGUUUAUCAGAAGAUACAGCUCAAGUGUUCUUAUACAGAGUUUGAUGAUGCACUGAAUUAUUUAAUAACUUUUAUCUCUAAAAAUUCACUUCAUGUGAACUCUUAUUCUUCUAUUAAAUCAUCCAUCGAUUAGACUAUUUAUUCCUGCCCUUAACCCACCCUCCCAAUAUUUACAGGUUUGUUAUGCUUAGUAAAGGGCCAGUACUAUGUAUUUUAUAAUCAAACCAAUUUCAAAUAGGAACUUCUCAGCACUUUUAGUUUCAACUGCAAUCUUAUGGCCAUACAUUUUUGUUUCAUAUUGAUUCACACAUGAAGGAUAGCUUUUGCCCUGGGUAAAGACAGGCUCAGCCAUGCUCAUUUUUUGGUUUUUACUAACACUCUCUAUGUGAUGCAGAGAGCACAGUGUUGUUUAUGCUGACAGCUGUGCGUGAAUAUUUUUACUAUUUUGAGAUGUGAACAGGUUGACUUUUUGGGUGUACAGGCAAGUGAGUACAUUGUUAUUGGCACAUUAGCACUUUCUUGCAGAUUAAUAAUAGAUUUUCUUCUUAAUUCCGACUUUUUUCAGUGAUACUACCAGAUCACAAAAUGUAUAAUCAUAUUUAAGUUCCAAAAUUUUUCACCAAAUGCCAUGAUGCAAAAAAUUUUUAAUGUAAUUUGUUAAGUGAUUAUUCAUAUGGCAGAUAGAAUCAAAGGUAGGAUAUUGCAGGAAAUAAUAUUUGAGCCACGUUCUUAGUCCCAACUCUCAAUUUUAUUUUAAGAAAGAUAUCUUCAGAAGCCGUUCCUUCAUUCAAGUGACUAGGAUACAAGCAUAACAGAAUUUCAGCUCACUAACAUGCACCUCCCUGAAAGCUAUCCAUUGGUCAAUAUAUGUUAUACAUUAAAGUUGGCCCAAGAAAACAAUUCAGCUUGUUCUACUAGUCAUGAAACUUAUUUUUAAAAUGUUAAUACGCCUUAUUUUUAGAGCAAUUGUAGGACUGUAGAAAUACUGCACAAAAGUACAGAGAGUUCCCAGGUAGCUCCCUCCCCUUGUUACCAAAAUGCUGGGGUUUCCAUCUAGGUCUUGCUUCUUGCCACACAGAAAGCCAUUCAUUGAGACAAUGAGUGUUACCAGGGAAGAAGGGUUUAUUCUGGUGCUGCAGCUGAAGGAAUUGGAGAUCAGUCUCAAAUCCAUCUCUAUAGCUGACUAAAACUAAGGGUUUAUAUAGCAUGGAAUAAUUGUAACCAUUUGUGGAAAAACAGAAAUUAGGGAGGGGUAAGGAGAAGAGUUGGACCACAUAUACUGCAGGUAAGAACGUAAAUUAGUUCAG